UACGUAGGGACCGAGCGUUGUCCGGAAUCAUUGGGCGUAAAGAGCGUGUAGGCGGCCUUUUAAGUCCUGCGUGAAAUCCUGCGGCUCAACCGCAGACGGUCGUGGGAAACUGGAAGGCUAGAGUGCGGGAGAGGAGAGUGGAAUUCCCGGUGUAGCGGUGAAAUGCGCAGAUAUCUGGAGGAACACCAGUGGCGAAGGCGGCAUCCUGGACCGGUAUUGACGCUGAGGCGCGAAAGCUAGGGUAGCAAACGGG
rnacentral:rRNA from 1 species